GAAUCCUGGCUGUGUUUAAUUGCCGAGUGGCUGCCAGGCUCAAGAUCUGAAGAAAAGAUCGGGAAUCACUCUGAGCCGCCGCGUCUGUCAAUGCUUUACGAGUCCCAGCCCCGAGAAAAGAGAGAGAGGAGGUGAAGAGAGGAAGUGUUUGGAGUUUGGGAAAGGGCGAGCGAGUCAUUUUUAUGCAGUGGGAACAAGCAGUGCUGGGAAGAAGCGAGAGAGGUACAGAGAGGCUUUGAGAGAGGUAGAGCAGGAAAGGGGAGGAGGAACGGUGAAGUAAGACCUCAAGUGAGUGAAAGACUUAGAAGGAGGAAAAAAAGUGGAGGGAGGAAAAGAAAAGAGGCCCAUCGCUAUAGAAAGAGCAACAAGAGCGGGAAAGUGGGAAAACAAGAGUAAGAGAGAAAAACCAAGCAGGAGGAAGGAGGGGGGGGGUGAGACAGGCAGAACAAAAAGUUGUUGAGGGGAAGUUGCGAGAGAGAAACGGUGUGUGCAAGAAAGCAAUAAACGAGGGCAGACGCUAGACGAGAAGCUGCGCAGAUGAGAAAAACAGCCGCCGUGGAUGGCCUGGGUGGAGAGAGAAGCAGAAGGAAACCAGUUGCUUUUUAAGUUCUUCGUCCAGGCGCAUUUUGCACUGGCAUGCACUCGGACGACGCGGUAUCAAGACAGCGUGUGUUCCAGACACCAUCCUGCCACCUUUGCCUGCAGCGCUUAAGCGCACGGCCUCAGAACGACCCAAAUGGCGUAGCUCACCGGACGGCCGUCCUCCCUUCCCCGAAGGACUUGGGGAUAGCAGACUACAGACCGGAGAGGACGGGGUCAUCGCCACGCCAGGUACACGCAGAGGAAACUCACCGUCCGUUCUACUCAUGGGGGGACGUGAGGCCAGCCAGGUGGGAUACGCCUUUGGACUCUCUGCACGCCCCCUGCACGUGUGUGAGGGAGAUACGCAGAGACUGCGGGUGCAUCCAGCAGUGGUAUUACCCAGAACACUCCUUCAACGGAUGCCGUGUUAAUCCACACCCGAAGGUCAGAGGUCAGCGGUACUACAGGGAGGUCUUGUACGUCUCAGAGCAGCACUACAGGGGUCCCGAACAAGGAGAUCUACAGGAUGAUAGUAGUAUGCCUUCCUAUAAUGGACACUGUCAAAGGAGACGAGUAUCUUUCCAGAAUCAUGAGGAGCGACAUGGGUUCAAUGGUCCUGACACGAGCAGACAAUCCGGUCUGAAUUCACGCUGUAAUGGGACGGACUCUGGACAGGCCGCUUUCUUUCCAACCGAGGUUCCCCCGGGCAAGCUGGGCCGCUCGAGGGUGCUGAAGGUAAAUGAACCGGCGCAGGACAUAAGGAGAUCUCAGGGGAGCGAAAGCAACUGGAGGAAGAGCCAUGAAACAGUACGGGAACAGAUCAAACAAGUGGUCAAUGAGCUCGAGGAAGUACUGGGUGGUCUCAAACAGGUCCAGUUGGAGAUGAAAGAGGUUGUCCAACAGAUUGAUGUUCUGACGUCCGACAUUGACCUCGGUGAAGAUGACUCAAGUCCAUCCACCAGCUUCCUCCAAGAUGGACGUCACCGGAGCAGUCGGACAGCUGCUGUCGCUUCCAGCAAUCAGGAAUCCUCACCAGAGACUUCUGAUUCCUCCAUCACACAUGGCUCUGUUUCUGUGGAUUUGUUUCUUAUGAACAAUCCUUCAGUGAUGAGAAACCACACAAGCUCAUCUCCUCCUGAUCAGCGAGCCAUCACAGCUGAGAAUAACUUUAAUGCAUUCACGCAACAGACCUCAGAGUCUCACCGGACGGGGAGAACAGUCAACGGAACCUGUCUGCCGCACCCGCCCCCCAAAAUCAGAGCUAACGAAGAACUAGAGAAUCAUGACUGCAUAAAGAGUAAGAACCACCGGCCCCCACCCUAUCCUCAGAAUGGCCAGGUGAAAACACGGACAGCCCCCCUCUCUGAAAAACAUAAGACCCUCUCCUCUACUAUAGUGUAGAGAAUCUCUUAUCACCAAAGACGACACAACUAAACACACACACACAGGUAAACGGACAAAUGUAACAUUCACACUUUGAUGAAGGCCAACAUACAGUAUGUAUUCAUUUACAAAGGAACUUCUCCCAAACGCUCGGUGAUGAAACUCAGGAACACAAAAGAAGAUAUUUUGAAGAACAUUAAUAACCGAACAACACCGAACCCAUUGACUUCCAUUGUGUGAACACAAAACCACUGAGACUUUCUCAAAAUAUCUUCAUUUUCACACAAGGACCGAUGCCACAAAACUAAUCUGGGGACGGCAAAGCUCCAAACCAAAGCAUGACGACUUCUAUUUCCAGUGGAAAACUCCAUAAUCCUCUGCAGCGUUUCAAUGUCAGAUGUGGGUGUUCUGAUAUCAUAUCUCUGAUAUCCAACAACAGAGAUCAUUGACGUAAUUUAAUAUAAAACUACACACCCGUCUUCUGUUUAAAUUAAUGUUUAUGUGCUCUUCACGUGUUUCUUGAGACCUGAAAGACAAUGGUCGUGUUGCUUUUCUUUGUACGUGCCCGCCUGCCCGGUGAUCAACAGAACGUGUGAAUGGUUGGGAUUCUGAAAUAGGAAAUUAUUUUUCAACUUUUCACUUUAAACGUGUCUUCACCACCAAGUGUUGUCAUUCCCAUACUAUUAAACCAGUUAGUUAGCAGUGAUGGAUUUAAACUGGUCAUCAGCUGAACUAGUUUAGUUUUAACUAAUCAAGGCUGAUUUUUCUCAGCAGGGUCUCUCUCUCUCUCUUUCGCCCCUUGCAAAAAUAAGUACGCUCUCAGUUUAGUAAGUACACUUAAGUUCACAAAGUUGAUACUAAUAUCAGUGUCUAAUAGGGAGCCAAAGAGAUGACGUGUAUUUAUGCCAACCCGAAAGUUAGCGGCGCACGGGUUCCCUCGAUCAAAAGCCUAUGCAUUUUCCCCAUAGACUUUUGGAAAAUCGCAAAAAAUAAGCUGUGUUUAACAAAGGGUUAUGACACUUACACGUUUUGUCUAUCAAGAUAAUCUUUACAAGUUGACACCACAUAGGCCUGUGUUGCUUUUGAAGCCUAAAUAUAAUCGGCAUAAGUGAAAAGCUAACACAAUGCCAUCAACAGACAACACUUCGCUCUAAAUCAAUGUCACUACCACCAAGCCUCCGACAACUCUUUCAAACUUUAUUAAAAAUGUGUUCCCUGGUCAGUGCCGAUCCUAGAAGUCUGGGGACCCUAAGCAAACCUUUGUGGGGGCCAUUGUCAUAGUUAAAUUUAGAUAAACAUAGCUGUAAACUAUAAAAAAUAAUAAAUCAAUUAACACAGCUGUCAAAAAAACUUUAACACGCAAAUGCGGUGUUUACUAACCAAAUGAGUGAUUAACAAAAAUAAAACAUGAUAUAGUUUAAAGCUAAGCAUACGAAAACACAUCAAUAAUUCUCUAAAUGUGAUGACACAAAAAUGACACCUUAUCAUGGGCAAACGAAAUACAGUGGUGUGCAUUAUAGCUGAGGCUCACAUGAACACUGUACAGUUGGUUUUGUGACUGUAAGUCAUUCCCUUUAAAUGCUAUUUAAGUUAGAAACGUGUACAUGAAUGUGUAGCCUAUUUAACUUGGGAGACGGUCCCUAAAUUUAGACUAUCUAACGUCCAACGUCAAACUAACUUUAUGCCAGUGGAUAGGCUAUACUAAUACUGAAUUUGUAAAUCUGUACUUGCAUAAUUAGGCCAAACUAAAUAAGACUAUGAAAAUAGUAUAAAAACACAUGCUUUGUUCUUUUGCUUCGCGUUGUUGGCGUUUUUUUUCUGCUACAGACGGAUAGCUCCGUUUUAAAGCCAUGGCCAUAUGUAAAGACAUCACGCGCAUGUCAUCACCUGCCGCGCACUAAAUGAUGUCCGCGACCGAGUAAAGUAGCCUAAUUAAUUAAAUUAAGUAUUAAAAAGGAAAUUUCCAAAUGAUUCCAGUGAAGGUGAAUCCGCAAGUUAUAAAAAUAGCGUCUUGUUUACAUUCUAGUGUUUUUGAUUCGGUAGGCUACUCAAGAGGCCCCCUGGUGGUGUAGAGGCCCUACAACCUGCGUAGUCUGCGUAUAGGAAGGAUCGGCUCUGUCCCUGGUGAGUAAUUACUCCGUGAAUGAAUCCACAUCUACGUUUUAAGAGAUUUGUGCCCAUGUUGCAUUAUGUGUGAGCUUUAUAUGCGCGACGUUAACGUCCCCGCCAAAGGAAGUAGUCGCUUUUAGCAACUUGUUAGCAACCUUCGUUUUUAAGACACAAUAAGGCUUUAAUAAAAUGACAAGCGGGUUAUAAUUGGUGUAUUUUAUGUCAUAGAAUAAACCAUGAAAAUAAUAAACCAUGAAAAUAUUUAGAGGUUUUGUUAACCACAGACCUUAUUUCGGGCAAUUGAUCAAAAACCCAUUAAAAAAAACUCAUAGACAUUGGAGCGAUGGAACCGGAAGUCCUAAAAUGCUAACUCGCUUCCGGUUUUGCAUACAAAAUUACGUCAUCUCCGAGCCUUCAUGUCUAUUUCAAAACUACUUGGGACUAAAGUGGCCCACUUUUUUGUUUUUAAAAGUAUACUUUUGAGUGUUACAGUAGGUUUAAGUACACAAACAACUGUGUUUUUGUUUGUACUGUGACUAUACUACAAGUGAACUAAUAAUUAUUUUCACAUUUUUAGUCCAUGAAAGAACACUUUAAAGUAUACUCUCAAUGAACUACUUAGUGGGUUUUUUCUGUAGUUUCUGUGAAGUUUUCUUUAAAUAAACUUAACAUCAUACUUAUAGUUUACUGUUUAUAUGUUAUUUAUAUAAUAUUAUAGUUCAUAUAUAAACUAGAACAUGUACAUUUAUAAGAAAGUUUGCAAAAAAAAUAUUAAAAGACACCUACGUACAUAAGUGUAAUUUUUUGUGUAUUUCUGAGAAGUGGAUAAAACGUUUUAAAGAAGUAUAGCACACUUGAAUACACAUUUUGUAAAGGUCUCUCUCUCUCUCUCUCUCUAAGAUUUUUAUGCUUGACAAAUCUGUGACCAGGGCUGCGUUCAGCCCCGACAAAACCUUUUUUAAACGGAAACGGUGGUGCGGUUGAACACCCUGUUGUGAUGACGCAAGAUUUGAACUAUGGCAGCUGAGAAGGCCAUUCUUUGUGUUCUUUUUGAAGAAUUUUCGGAGCCUGAUGAAAUCGGUAUGAAUACGUGUUGAAUACCGCAAAAUACAUCUCUUCUAAUAUCUUCAAUUGUUGCGUAUACCGAGCUGCAGCGGACACAUUUAAACGACUUUAGUUGAACCCAUUGUGCGAGCUGUCUCUUUAAUACCGCGUGAGUUAUAUACAUGUUGCUGCUGAUUGGGCUGACAUUCUUGACACACCCACCAAACAAGAGAAAACAGGCUCGUUUGAGAUGGCCAAAUUCUGCGCAGAACCGAUCACCGGUGAUCAGCGCGAGAUGCAUGCCGGUAAGAAAUGUGUCCGAGUAAUGUUGCUCUGAUGUCAUGCUGACGUGUGUCAAAAAACUCUCGCGACGGCCAGGCGGCUGUAUCGGAUUCUUCAGUCGGGCGCAGUUGCGCUCAACCAAUGAGUUACAGAAUUUACACAAUAUAGGAACUCCCCAGGCGCAGAAGGAUAAAUAUCACAUACAAUUUUGAAAUGUAUUUUUUUGGGAUAAACUGUAAAGUUGAAAUAGGAGGUUCUAAGUUUAAGCAUUCGUUUGUCAAAGAACAUAUCUAAAUUCUUUCGUACAGCCUUGACAUGGUUGAGCGUUUGUCUAAUAUAAGUUUUAGAACAUUUCUCACUUUUAAACUCACUUGGCCCAAGAAAAAUGCGAUAAAAACGUGAACGCGAUCUAUUCCAUUGCUGACGUUUCCAGUCGACUCGACAGCGCGAUUUGGGAAGUGUCCGUCUUGCCUGCGCUGUUUUCACUCCUCCCCUUACUGCAGCCGCCUACUCUCGUCUUAUUUUCAGGCGAGGCAAGGUGCAUCUCAAACAAGCCUAACGUAUCUCAAACCCUGUUGCACACCGUUGCAAACCGUUUCCAGGAAACGUGUCGUUCAACCCGGAAACCGUAGCAAAACGUUGUGCACCGGUUUGAGCUUGAACAUGCCUCUGAUAUCAUUGUUUUCUCUUUCAAAGGUAGCGCAUCAGAGAAAUAAUGCUGCUCUUAUGGAAAUGUAUGACUUUGUAACACAGAGCCAUGAGCUCUCAGAUAUAUGCAAACUAUUUGAUAUGAAAGACUGUACAUUUUAACAUGUUAAACACUUUUUUUAUGUUUUUAUUUUUUUAUUGAUCAGACCAAAGAUUUACAGGAUUUUUGUCAGAUAGGAAGGAUGAAUAGAUAUGCUAUAUUGCUCCAGAUCAUCUGAACACAUUACUGGAAUUAUUUAAGCAGCAUUUAAAAUCAGUAUAAGCCAUUUUUAUCGAUUGUUGCAAUCCUGUAAUUUCACACUGUGGUCAAUAGAGGACGCUGCAGGCCACAGAAAAAAAUCAUAAAGGAAACGUUUUAUAAAUGUGUAAAAAAACUCGCAUGAAAUAAAACAGCAAGUGUUUAAAAUGUGUUUUGAUGACUUCUGAUGUGAAUAUGUUUUAC